CGAUGAACCUCCUUCGGGAGGGGAUUAGUGGCGAACGGGUGAGUAACACGUGGGCAAUCUGCCCUGCACUCUGGGACAAGCCCUGGAAACGGGGUCUAAUACCGGAUACGACACACGGAGGCAUCUCCUGUGUGUGGAAAGCUCCGGCGGUGCAGGAUGAGCCCGCGGCCUAUCAGCUUGUUGGUGAGGUAACGGCUCACCAAGGCGACGACGGGUAGCCGGCCUGAGAGGGCGACCGGCCACACUGGGACUGAGACACGGCCCAGACUCCUACGGGAGGCAGCAGUGGGGAAUAUUGCACAAUGGGCGCAAGCCUGAUGCAGCGACGCCGCGUGAGGGAUGACGGCCUUCGGGUUGUAAACCUCUUUCAGCAGGGAAGAAGCGCAAGUGACGGUACCUGCAGAAGAAGCGCCGGCUAACUACGUGCCAGCAGCCGCGGUAAUACGUAGGGCGCAAGCGUUGUCCGGAAUUAUUGGGCGUAAAGAGCUCGUAGGCGGCUUGUCGCGUCGGUUGUGAAAGCCCGGGGCUUAACCCCGGGUCUGCAGUCGAUACGGGCAGGCUAGAGUUCGGUAGGGGAGAUCGGAAUUCCUGGUGUAGCGGUGAAAUGCGCAGAUAUCAGGAGGAACACCGGUGGCGAAGGCGGAUCUCUGGGCCGAUACUGACGCUGAGGAGCGAAAGCGUGGGGAGCGAACAGGAUUAGAUACCCUGGUAGUCCACGCCGUAAACGGUGGGCACUAGGUGUGGGCCACAUUCCACGUGGUCCGUGCCGCAGCUAACGCAUUAAGUGCCCCGCCUGGGGAGUAC
rnacentral:rRNA from 1 species